rnacentral:rRNA from 1 species
UGGGGAAUUUUGGACAAUGGGCGAAAGCCUGAUCCAGCAAUGCCGCGUGUGUGAAGAAGGCCUUCGGGUUGUAAAGCACUUUUGUCCGGAAAGAAAUCCUUGGCUCUAAUACAGUCGGGGGAUGACGGUACCGGAAGAAUAAGCACCGGCUAACUACGUGCCAGCAGCCGCGGUAAUACGUAGGGUGCAAGCGUUAAUCGGAAUUACUGGGCGUAAAGCGUGCGCAGGCGGUUUGCUAAGACCGAUGUGAAAUCCCCGGGCUCAACCUGGAAACUGCAUUGGUGACUGGCAGGCUAGAGUAUGGCAGAGGGGGGUAGAAUUCCACGUGUAGCAGUGAAAUGCGUAGAGAUGUGGAGGAAUACCGAUGGCGAAGGCAGCCCCCUGGGCCAAAUACUGACGCUCAUGCACGAAAGCGUGGGGAGCAAACAGGAUUAGAUACCCUGGUAGUCCACGCCCUAAAACGAUGUCAACUAGUUGUUGGGGGAUUCAUUUCCUUAGUAACGUAGCUAACGCGUGAAGUUGACCGCCUGGGGAGUACGGUCGCAAGAUUAAAACUCAAAUGAAUUGACGGGGUCAUAGCUGUUUCCU